rnacentral:rRNA from 1 species
CACCCACGCUCGCCACCGCGGCGCGGCCGACGGCAACAGCUGAACCUGAACGGCGGCGGGACGCGUUCACUACCGAGGGGCGGGGCAUCUAUCCGCCACAGUUUCGCGCGUAGGCCCCUCGAGAUCCACGUAAUGGCGGCGCACACCCCCGCGGCCUGGGCCCUUUAAAUGCGGGGGCACGCAUGGAGGCCGGAGCAGGGCGCCACGAGUCGAGUAGUUGAGCAGUAGCGCUUGCCUGGACUCCCCGUCUCCUCCUCCCUCCUCCCGCCGCCGCCUACGGCACAACCGCCCCGUUCACGUGCCCUAAUCCCCAGCGGCAGCUCCCCCUCCCCAUCCGCCCGUCCGUCCGUCCCCCGAAAUGGAGCCCAAGAGGUCCUCGCCCCAGGCCCAGCCCCAGCCGCAGCCGCGCGCGGCGACUAAGGAGUCGCCUCCCCGCGCCGCCGCCGCCGCCGCCGCCGUCGCCGACUCGCCGCUCAGCAGCCUGUUCCACCCGGCGCCGCACGGGGUAAACGGCAAAGAGCAGGACUUGUACGCCAUUCUUUUCAAGGGGCAGAACGGCAAUGCUCAGGCCAGCAUGACAGAUGGUAAAUCCCAGUGGAGUCCUGCUAGGGGCCGCACAACAUAUACCAAGGAUAACAAGUAUGACUCGGUUGGUACAUCGUCUUGUUUUGGUUCUUCUGUGCACUAUGGUGGCCGAGAAUAUUAUGGCUGCUCUGCACCCAAGCAAGCUGCGGAAUACAGUGAUUACAAGGUGGAUAAGAAGGAUCCUGUCGCAGAUUCUCAUGGCGAUUGGUGGCAAGGCUCGUUUUACUACUAAGCAAGAGCUUGGUGUCCUCUCCCUUUACGAACAAGGAAAUCGAAGGGGGAGAGGUGUUGAACCUAAUUUCCUUGAUAGCAGUUAUAUACCUUACAUAGUGGAGAAAACAUUCGCUCAUCAGUGGUGGCAGUAUUUGGACGCAUCAUCACUCCUGGGCAGAUGCUGUGUGUGCGUGUGUGUGCCUUUACCUUCUUCUUAUUCCAUAGCUUGUGCUUUAGCUGUGAAAUGUAAUGAAUCUACAAGUACCUAGAACUUGGUGUCAGGUUGCAUAAAGGGUCCUGAGGCCAUCCCGCCCAACCUGGGCAGUCUGGUCUCUGACUCCUAUACAUAGUAUCAAACCUGUCCUGCUUGUACCCUCUGAUCCUCUCUCCAGACCAGAAGCGCUGGAGAAGCAGAGAUCAUUUACAUUGUACUAUUAUUAAAACUGUACUGUUGGAACUUCAUAUAAGUUUGGGAAGUGUUUUUGUCAAUAUACCAUAAGAUUUGCAAAGGUACUUCAUUAUAUUAUAUUCCAACAGAGGCAUUACAACCACAUUGUUUAUUGAGAUCUCUUAUUUAUUCAUAAAAGAUUCAAGUAAAAGUUCCACAUGGCAAAGAUGGCAUCAGGUGUGUGCCAUCUGCUCUUCCAGAAGUUCCAAGCCUCAUGGCAGGGUGUAUGCUGCACAGCAAAAGCAGAGCAAGGCAAACAAUGAUGGCUCCAAGGGACAGAGUAGCUACAGAGGAAACGACCGAGCAUCAGAACAAAUGAACUUACGGCCGCAUUUGUAGCCGAUGGAGCGGUUGGCGAUGGCGCAGCGCUUGGGGAUGGUCAUGGCGACGGCGGGCUUGACGCCGGCCUGGCGCGCGGUGCUGGACAGCAUGACGGCGCACAGGCACUUGGGGCUGCGCCCGAUGCUGCGUAUCUGCGCGCAGCAGCCGGGCGCCACCGCGGCCCGGGGGUUCUGCGUGGCCGCCGCGCACGGCGCCAGCUUGAGCGCCAUCCUGUCCGCCGGCACGCGGCCGCACUCCCCGGCGCCACGCGCCGCCCCGAGCCCGGCCACCAGGAGCAUCGCCAGCAAGCAGAGGCACCUUGCCGCCUUGGUCUCCAUCUCUUUUCUCUUGGCUGCACCUCACUCCUCUCUUCUUCUCUAGCCUCUCUGUAUGCACCCGUGCC